CAAUCAAUUGGCCCUUAAUUAGGGUCAGGUAUGAAUGGAGUUACGGGGCUUAGCUGUCUCUAAACUAUUUAAUUGAAGUUGCUAUAUAGGUGAAAAAGCCUAUACUAAGAAAAAAGACGAGAAGACCCUUAGAGUUUUACUUAAGAAAGAAUUAUUUCUUCACUAGUUUUGUUGGGGCAACAUAGGAGAAGAAUUAAACCUCCUGAAGGAUAUAAACCGAUGAUUUUAAAUGUGAACAAACUACCUUAGGGAUAACAGCAUAAUUUUAAAAGUAAGUUUGUGACCUCGAUGUUGGACUAGGAAGCUUAAGGGCUAGCCGCCUUUUGGUAAGGUUCUGU
rnacentral:rRNA from 1 species